rfam:Triticum aestivum genome assembly, contig: Triticum_aestivum_CS42_TGACv1_scaffold_328942_4BS
CUGCUACUCACUCUGUUCGGAAAUACUUGUCACAUAAAUGGAUAAAAAUGAAUGUAUCUAGAACUAAAAUACGUCUAGAUACAUCCAUUUCGAUGACAAGUAUUUCGGGACGGAUGGAGUACCAA